UUGGCUUUAAAAUCCAAUAUUAUAAAGACAUUACUUGGCCACAAUUUGUGACAGUUACUAUAAUUUAAAAGAGUUUUUGGAAUGAGGGGGGUGGGCUGUGUCACAAUACAUUAAGUAGCCUAAACACAGUGUAUUAUUGUUACAGCCAGUUCCAGUUACCGGGCUCCUCGGACUUGGAGAGGAGCUAGAGGUGCACCUUGUUAUGCCAUCAUUCAAGAGCAACUGAGGUUUCUGAUGUCCUGUGCUUUCAGUGUGUCUCAGAUGGCAGAUAUUCUACAUGUGUCCCGAUCGACAGUCAAAUGUCGUCUAAGACACUUCAAUCUGUCACAUGCACUGUUAUAUUCUGACAUGUCAGACUUGGCUCUGGAUGAAAAGAUUAAGGACUUGGUGGCUGGGAACGACAAACGUGGACUGGAGGCUGUUCGAGCACAAUUAAGGGCUCUGGGUGCAGAGACGCAGAGUGAGGGACAGCAUGCUUCGUGUUAACCCGAGGGCGGCUGCCCUCAGAGCCAUGUCGCAGAGGCUGCAUAGAAGGUCAUACCAUGUUGCUGGACCAAACUCGUUAUGGCACCUUGAUGGAAACCACAAACUGAUAAGGUAGAUGUAUCUUUGUGAUAGACACAAUUAUCUAUAUCACUGGUGAGAAGUUGUACAUUGUAACAUCUCAAAUUGUUCAUCAACAACUAACAGUUCAGUAAGCAAUGGCCCUUGAUACCAUGUGUCACUCAUGUGAAUAAUAAUAGUUUUAUUGUGUUUCUGCUACUUCUGUGAUUGAUGGAAUAUCUGCAUCAUGAAAUUAACAAACAUGCUUAUAUUGAGGACAUACGGAGGCAAUAACAGUUGGAGCAAAGUAUUUGUGCCUAAGUGUGAACAACAGGAGAGUCUGUCCUCUUGAGUCUUCAAGAUAAAUGUGGUUAUUUUUCCAAUUGAAGUAGAUAUUUUAAUCACACAUCUUCUGCUGCAGGAAACAGUCUCGAACAAACCCUUGUUGUAGCCUUUAGAGGGCUAACGGAAGUACUUAUAGUUGUGAUCCGCGUUAGAGUGUUCAUUAACAUUGUUCCAAAUUUUGGAUGUUAAUUUAGUAUUUGGUCUGCUGCUUUGUUUUAAACUGCAGGAACCUGAUGCAGCAUUUAAGUGGUAAAGGAGGAUGGUGAUGUUUGUAUAUUUAAUGUGUCUUCAGCUUUUGUAUCAACCAGUGCUGUAUUUUCUGAUUUAGGUGGAGGAUAGUCAUACAUGGUGGCAUUGAUGGGUACAGUUGCCUCGUUGUGUUUCUCCGUGCUUCCAGCAACAAUCGCAGCAUUAUUGUAAUGGAUUGCUUCAUGAAUGCUGUCUCCAGAUAUGGCGUUCCCUCCAGUGUUAGGACGGACCAUGGAGGAGAAAACAACACUGCUUGUUGAAUAGUACUUCUAUAAACGAGGCUACACUUGUGGCAGCACCUAUUCCUGUGCACCCCCAUCUUCUGCAUCACUUCCUGUGGCCCCUCCUCCACCUAUACCACUUCCUGUGGCCUCCCUCCCCUCCACCAUUCCCUGAGGCUUAUCGUCCACCUUCACCACACUCGUCUGUUGAUGUUGGUGAUGAAGACAAUGAUGUUGACCUGCAAACACUGCUGAAGUUAAUGAGCAGCAAGGUUGACUCUGCUUUUGCCCCUGAUGCCAACCAAAUUAACGUGAUCAGGGACAACGUUUGUGAUUGUGCAAUGAGAAGUUCUAAGAGAGCCCGCUUUAAUCCGGAGGCAAAAAUAGACAUGGUUUUUAUGGCUGCUGACGGAAAAGGGGCAGCUGAUGACGGUGGUUCCUCGAGAAUUUCUCCGGGUGCUAAUGUGUGCCAUCCAUUCCUCUGCAAUAUUUGAGGGACCUGAUUGGCAAAAAUGCCUUUCUUGCAACUCUCAAGGUGAGUUACACUUUUACACCAACAAAGACAUGUUUGUUUAUGGCAAUAUGUAUGACCUGUCCUUUAUUUACUGUUUGUCUUCUGUGUGACAGCACUCUAUAAUGGCGUAUACAAGCAGGUGGGCCGCAUGAUUGCUGUCUGUCUGGUACAUGGGGGUGUAGAGCCACAAUUUUUUUCAGAGAGGCUAUACAGGCAAGUGUGGCCUACAACAACCGGAAUAUGACUUCAGAGAGAAGUUGGAGAAGUUAAGUCAUUUUAUACUGUGAUGGAUGUUAUAUUUGUCAACGUGUGCGCAACUGGUCGAAAGAAGUCAGGUGCAGGAGAGCAGAGAUGAGUGAACAGGCACACUUUAAUCAGGCAUAGGAAAACAGCCGGACGCAACUGCGUCACAACACUCCGGCCCAAAGGAAAAAAGCGAAUGCGCACAAAUACACAAACUGGUACAAAAUACAAAACCACGGGUUACAAUAAUACCUGGUGCAAAACCAGCCUUAAGCGUCACACACGUAACGACCGAACAAUACCACACACAGACAUGGGAGGAACAGAGGAUAAUAUACAUGUAGAGUAAUGAGGGGAUGUAAACCAGGUGUGCGGGAAAACAAGACAAAACAAAUGGAUGGCUAGAAGACCGGUGACGUCGACCGCCGAACGCCGCCCCAACAAGGAGAGGGACCGAUUUCGGCGGGAGUCGUGACAAUGUUACUGUUAAUUUGCACUAAGUUUGAAAAAAUACUAGGGUUGUAGUUGCUUAUGAAUACUUUUCCACAUGGAUUUGGUUUCCUUUUGUUGGCAGUCAAUCUUUUUUAAGGGUAGUGAUAAUUAGUUUAUUGUUUUGCUAAUUUGUCCCAAAACACUGUUAUUGAACUAUCUAAGAUCCGGUUAGCACAAACUGUUGACGAGGCACAGGAAGAGGUCAUGGAGGCCUCCGAACAACUGGUCAUGUUGGGUCAGUGCGAUACGUUCGUACAUUGGAGGAGAGGGAUGCCCUGGUGGAGUCAGCCACAAAGUUCUACUUAGAAAGCAGGCUACGGGAUGCUCUUGAGCAGUGAGUUUCCAUAUAUCUAAGGAAGCUCAUAAGCUUAGUUAAAUUCUUUAGGGCAAAUUUAUUAUGUGACUUUUUUUUACUUUAUAGAUUCAAAUAGGGUCUGGAGUGUCUAGGUCUCCUGCCUUACAUGAAACCUCUUCAGAGGUUUUCAUCUAUGCUGAGAAGCCUCUUUUGGCCAAAGACAGCUUCUCUCUUCAAAGCAGAGCGCUCCCCACCUGGUACCAAUCAAAGAGCAAUAGAGAGCAGAGUCAUAUGUUUCUGGAGCGACUAGCCGCUGGAGGUGGAAGGUUAGAUGUAAAACCAUGAUUAUUGAAGUAACACGGCCCACAUCAGUAAAAUAUAUCAUCUUAUCACUCUCACAACUGUGGGACAGCAUUUUAUAGCCUUAUUCUUUCAUGGGCCCCCUAAGAAUGUAUUAGAUAAAUUAAAUCCCAAACUACUUUCACUUAAGAGUAUUGUGUUCUCCAAUAAGUGUUACUUACGGACUUUAAUGUCCCCCCUUCCCUUUUUUCAGGGGGGAAGGCACACCCUUUAACCCUGGAGAAGGUUCAUUUUUACUUCGCGGUCUUCAGCAUUCCUAGGCUGGGAUUGCCAGUGGAGCCACAUCUACAGUUCGCUCCGCUACCGCACGGCAAGCGGUACCGGAGUGCCAAGUCUAGGUCCAAGAGGCUUCUAAACAGCUUCUACCCCAAGCCA